rnacentral:rRNA from 1 species
UCUUAUGUACAUUCCUACAACAUAGCGUUAAUGCACCAGAUCCUAUUAGAACUCCACACCAAAGUGUUCUCGGGCUAGAGUAGUACUGGGAUGGGUGACCACAUAGGAAUUCCUAGUGUUUUAUAUGCC